rnacentral:rRNA from 1 species
CCUACGGGAGGCUGCAGUGGGGGAUAUUGCACAAUGGAGGAAACUCUGAUGCAGCGACGCCGCGUGAGGGACGACGGUCUUCGGAUUGUUAAACUCUGUCUGUGGGGAAGAAAAUGACGGUACCCAAAGAGGAAGCUCCGGCUAACUACGUGCCAGCAGCCGCGGUAAUACGUCGGGAGCGAGCGUUGUCCGGAGUUACUGGGGGUAAAGGGAGCGUAGGCGGGCGAGAAAGUUGAAGGUUAAAUUUACCGGCUCAACGGGGAACUGCGGUUAAUACUGCCUGUCUUGAGUGAAGUAGAGGCAGGCGGAAUGCGUGGUGUAGCGGUGAAAUGCGUAGAUAUCAGGAGGAACACCGGUGGCGAAGGCGGCCUGCUGGGCUUUGACUGACGCUGAGGCUCGAAAGCGUGGGGAGCAAACAGGAUUAGAUACCCCAGUAGUC